rnacentral:lncRNA from 1 species
ACUUCCCUUUCUUUUUCUUUCUUCUUUUUCUCUCUCUCUCUCUUUCUAUUACUUUCUUAACUCCACCCUUCAUCUCUAUUUUAUUUUCUUCUCUUUCAUUGGCCUAAUUUUUUUGUUUUUCAACCACUUUUAUAUAUCUCACAUUUUCAUUUUCACGCUCGAUCAAAAUUUCAGAUAAACUUUUAUAUUAUACUUUAUAGUAAUGUAAUAAAAUAAAAUAAAAAUGUUUGCUAUAAAGCGAAGUAUAAAGUACAAAUGCAUAGAAAGAAAAUGAAAGAUAAAAAAUAAAAUUGCCUCUAGUUCAUUAACAGCCUACAAGGUCGACGAGUUACGUGUUGAACAUCCAAGGGCAGAAUGGAGGAAGAAAAGCUUUCCGAUAGGUCUGUCUGUAAUGGUGUGGUGGCAUAACGACGAUUAGAAGAAUGCUAGCGAGAUAAAGUCGAAUAAGAUAUUCUUUACUUUUUUUUUUCUUUUUGUUCUUUUUAAUUAACUAUCAACAAAGAGUAGGAUGUAUCUAUCAUGUGUAUAAUAUUGAACACACAUAUAAUUCAACAAUUCUAUUAUCUAUGUGCUUAUAUGUGUGUGUGUAAUAUUAUUCUAUCUAUUUUUAAAUUGGUCAUUCUCUCAGAGACACGUUUAUAUUAACUAAUAAUUUGUUUAUUAAAUUAAUAUUAAAAACGUAGUUAUAUUUUUAAUGAUACAAAAUAUCUGUAAAAAUAUUAUUAAAUGUAGAAGAUUUUGUAAAAAAGGCGUGGAAAAAAUCGGUUGGGACAAGAAACCUAUGC